rnacentral:miRNA from 1 species
GAUCACAUGUGGGUCGUA